UUGUUACCCAUUGUGGGUUUUGUUCAAAAGCCAACCCCAACCAGUUUUCGGUCUCCUCGAUUUCUCUUGCUCUCCGUGAAAUACCCCAAAACCCAAAAAAAUCAAAUUCUCUCUCUCAUUACCCCGUGAAAACCCCGACCCCUCUCUUUAUCUUUCGCCUGCUUCCGCGUCACCCCCUCCUCGUCGGAACUUUCCUUCCCCUUUGCUCGCGUCGCUACUGCACUAGUGAUGCUGUUGUGCUGAAUCGGUGGUCUCGCUGAUCAAUUUUCCCCUCCCUUAUUCGCGUUUUCUUCUUCUCCGGUGCUGCUGGUGUUGUGUCUUCUCUAUCUCCUCUUUCGUGUUGCUGCUACGCGGUAGUUUUCGUCGUAUGCCCAACACUGAUACCCGUGCCUUCACUCUUCUCCUUUGUCCCUGAACCCUUUGUCUUCUCGUGCGUGGGUGUUGUGUGUCGUACUUUGGCUUUGUUGUUGUGCUUAGUGAUGCCACCACCGUCUCCUUCCAAUUCAGGUUUCCCAAAAUGUUUCAGGUUGAAGCCGUGAGUUAAUCUUUUGCAAGUUGAAGUAGCUACAUGUUGGAAGACUACUUGUGUUGUAUUGUUUUCGAGGCGAGGACGCUCGACUUUGUAUUAGUUAUUUAUAUUCUAUUUCUAAAUUAAAGAGUCGAUAGUGCUCCUGAUUCUCAAUUGGUUGUUUCUCCACGAAAGCAUCGCGACUAUUUUAUUUUUGGAGUUGGAAAUAUUUUAUGAUAUUAUAAACAUGAUUAAACUAUUUUCCGAUUUAGGGUUGUCCUAUUUUCAAAGGAAAUUCCGCCGAAUUUUCUAUAAAAUUUAUAAGGAUAAAGUCUGAGAAUCAGGGAGUUGUUGUAAUAGUUAAAUUAAUAUGAAUAGAAUUGGAAUUGAGUUCUACACUUUCCGAUGUAGUUCGUUGAGUGUGAUGGUAAUAGUCUGGAUUAUAUCGACUAGAGUCUCUUCCGCUACGCUUAAUCCUCUGUAAGAUGGUUAGGAGAAUUCGGGCUGUAAUAAAGUCCGCUACGCUUGAUUAGUUCUUGGAUACGUUGUGAUCUCCAUAUCAUGGCGUAGAGGUUAAAAGUAGGUUUAACGGAUUCACAGAAGCACUAGGUAUAAAUGAAUCAAGUCGUUUGAAUGCUUGCGCUUAUGCGUGUACUAUAUGGAUCCAUUUCUAUGAAUAUGUAUUAAUUAUGUGUAUAUUUCCUAAUGUGUAUAAAGUUAUCUUGUUA